rnacentral:rRNA from 1 species
GACGAACGCUGGCGGCGUGCCUAAUACAUGCAAGUCGAACGCAGUGGGGACGGGUGAGUAACACGUGGGUAACCUCCCAUCAGAGGGGAUAACACUUGGAAACAGGUGCUAAACCGCUACUGAUGUAUGGACCCGCGGUGCAUUAGCUAGUUGGGGAAGUAACGGCUCACCUAGGCCACGAUGCAUAGCCGACCUGAGAGGGUGAUCGGCAACACUGGGACUGAGACACGGACCAGAAUCCGACGGGAGGCAGCAGUAGGGAAUCUUCGGCAAUGGACGAAAGUCUGACCGAGACACGCCGCGUGAGUGAAGAGGGUUUUCGGAUCGUAAAACACUGUUGUUAGAGAAGCGGUAUCUAACCAGAAAGCAACGGCUAACUACGUGCCAGCAGCCGCGGUAAUUC